AUGUGUCUCCAGUGAGGCAACAUGUAAACAGCUCUAGUCAAAAGAUGCUUGCUAGGAUUCAGAGGAGAACAUGUGUUUACCAUAUCUUCUUUGUUAUAUUCUCAGCCAGAUGAGUCAAUAGAGGUACCAUAUCUACAUCUGCAGAAAAUGCAAUCCUGUCUCAACACUUGAACCUUCUUGUUUGUCUGAGCCACAGGCUACUGGAGAUUUGAUUGAUUACAAGUAAAUAAAGUUCUGAGGAGGAGAAUGUCAAGAUUAAGUUUGGGCAUCAGAAGUUCUUGCCACUAAGCUGCUCACAAGAGGUUAAUAAUGAGUUCUACCACAUCAAAAUUAUUUGUUUCCUAUAAUGGAAAAAGAAAAAUCUUCAUGCUAUCUCCACUGGGCAGAAAGCAGGAGGGAAAUUUGUACACCACAUCUAUGCUACCCAAGAGAAGAGGAGAGUGAAGAAAUUUUUUGGUGAAUUUAGGCAUUAUAGACAGCUGACCUAGACUACUUCAGUUCCAAAGUGAAAUUCUGUGUAUAAAUUAUUCAGAACGAUUCCCUAUCCAGAUCAGUGCCAGUUGAACAUAUAUAUGCUCAUCCUUUUGCUUCAUAUUGGUUUCAGCCUUUUAGGCCCAGGAGAUUUCUGACAUUGUUCCAUUUUACUUAGACUCAAAUAAAGUUAAAAACCAAAUACAUGAAAAAUAAAAAGAA